GCAUAUCAAUAAGCGGAGGAAAAGAAACCAACAGGGAUUGCCCCAGUAACGGCGAGUGAAGCGGCAACAGCUCAAAUUUGAAAUCUGGCCUCGGCCCGAGUUGUAAUUUGCAGAGGAAGCUUCUGGUGCGGCGCCGUCCGAGUCUCCUGGAACGGAGCGCCAUAGAGGGUGAGAGCCCCGUAUGGACGGAUGCCAAACCUGUGUGAAGCUCCUUCGACGAGUCGAGUAGUUUGGGAAUGCUGCUCUAAAUGGGAGGUAAAUUCCUUCUAAAGCUAAAUAUUGGCCAGAGACCGAUAGCGCACAAGUAGAGUGAUCGAAAGAUGAAAAGCACUUUGAAAAGAGGGUUAAACAGCACGUGAAAUUGUUGAAAGGGAAGCGCUUGUGACCAGACUUGAGCGCGGCGGAUCAUCCGGUGUUCUCACCGGUGCACUCCGCCGCGCCCAGGCCAGCAUCGGCUUCCGCGGGGGGACAAAGGUCCCGGGAACGUAGCUCCUCCGGGAGUGUUAUAGCCCGGGGCGCAAUGCCCCCGCGGGGGCCGAGGACCGCGCAUCUGCAAGGAUG
rnacentral:rRNA from 1 species